CUCUCCUGUGCUGCUUGUCUAACUGAUUCAAAUCCACAUAGAUAAAUUUAAGCACAUUAAGUUUUCAAACUCAAAUCAAACAGCUUUAAAAGUUACUUCACAAACAAUGAAUUUCAUUUUCGAAAUACAAAGAAUCCGUUCAGUUUAAAACAAUAAAAAAUCGUCUACGACUACUCAACUCAUGUAUUAUAACUAAAAAAACGAAGGAUACCCACAAAAAUUAAAGAUAAAUUACCAAAAACCCAAAAAACUCAAGCCAAAAUUGCCAAAAAAAAAAAAGCGAGAGAAUGGAAAUUGGGGUACCAGGGGCGGGCGAGAGGAAACGAGAAGAGGAAGAAAGAGGGGUUUUAGAGAGAGUGGGAAUUAGUGGAGGCAAAAAUGGAGAGUUUUGCCUCCACUAAUGAUUGGUGGGGUGGUGAUGGCGGUGGUGGGGUUAAUGUUCUGGAGGGUAUGCUGAAGAGAGGUCGCAAGAGAACCUCCAUAGCCUUUAAAGAGAGUUGAGUUGCUGCUUUCUUUUGCCGUGGAUGGAGAGAGAUUAAGGGAUUAG
rnacentral:lncRNA from 1 species